rnacentral:rRNA from 1 species
GCGAACGGGUGAGUAACACGUGGGUAACCUGCCCUGUACUCUGGGAUAAGCCUGGGAAACUAGGUCUAAUACCGGAUAUGACCUGUCACUGCAUGGUGGUGGGUGGAAAGUUCCGGCGGUACAGGAUGGACCCGCGGCCUAUCAGCUUGUUGGUGGGGUAAUGGCCUACCAAGGCGACGACGGGUAGCCGGCCUGAGAGGGUGACCGGCCACACUGGGACUGAGACACGGCCCAGACUCCUACGGGAGGCAGCAGUGGGGAAUAUUGCACAAUGGGCGAAAGCCUGAUGCAGCGACGCCGCGUGAGGGAUGACGGCCUUCGGGUUGUAAACCUCUUUCAGCGGGGACGAAGGGCAACUGACGGUACCCGCAGAAGAAGCACCGGCUA